rnacentral:rRNA from 1 species
CUACGGGUCGCUCCAGUGAGGAAUAUUGCACAAUGGGGGGAACCCUGAUGCAGCAACGCCGCGUGGAGGAUGACGCAUUUCGGUGUGUAAACUCCUUUUAUAUGUCAAGAAAAUGACGGUAGCAUAUGAAUAAGCACCGGCUAACUCCGUGCCAGCAGCCGCGGUAAUACGGAGGGGCAAGCGUUACUCGGAAUCACUGGCGUAAAGGACGCGUAGGCGGGUUGGAAAGUCAGGUGUGAAAUCCUACAGCUUAACUGUAGAACUGCACUUGAAACUUCUAAUCUAGAGUAUGGGAAGGGGAGAUGGAAUUAGUGGUGUAGGGGUAAAAUCCGUAGAUAUCACUAGGAAUACCUAAAGCGAAGGCGAUCUCCUGGAACAUUACUGACGCUAAGGCGUGAAAGCGUGGGGAGCAAACAGGAUUAGAUACCCCGGUAGUC